CAGUAGCCGCGGGAAUACAGAGGGUGCGAGCGUUGUCCGGAAUUAUUGGGCGUAAAGAGCUCGUAGGCGGUUUGUCGCGUCUGCUGUGAAAACUGGAGGCUCAACCUCCAGCCUGCAGUGGGUACGGGCAGACUAGAGUGCGGUAGGGGAGAUUGGAAUUCCUGGUGUAGCGGUGGAAUGCGCAGAUAUCAGGAGGAACACCGAUGGCGAAGUCAGAUCUCUGGGCCGUAACUGACGCUGAGGAGCGAAAGCGUGGGGAGCGAACAGGAUUAGAUACCCCAGUAGUCCCUGUCUCUUAUAC
rnacentral:rRNA from 1 species